rnacentral:rRNA from 1 species
AUUGAACGCUGGCGGCAGGCCUAACACAUGCAAGUCGAGCGGAUGAAGGGAGCUUGCUCCUGGAUUCAGCGGCGGACGGGUGAGUAAUGCCUAGGAAUCUGCCUGGUAGUGGGGGAUAACGUCCGGAAACGGGCGCUAAUACCGCAUACGUCCUGAGGGAGAAAGUGGGGGAUCUUCGGACCUCACGCUAUCAGAUGAGCCUAGGUCGGAUUAGCUAGUUGGUGGGGUAAAGGCCUACCAAGGCGACGAUCCGUAACUGGUCUGAGAGGAUGAUCAGUCACACUGGAACUGAGACACGGCCCAGACUCCUACGGGAGGCAGCAGUGGGGAAUAUUGGACAAUGGGCGAAAGCCUGAUCCAGCCAUGCCGCGUGUGUGAAGAAGGUCUUCGGAUUGUAAAGCACUUUAAGUUGGGAGGAAGGGCAGUAAGUUAAUACCUUGCUGUUUUGACGUUACCAACAGAAUAAGCACCGGCCAACUUCGUG